UGAUCUGCAGGCUCAAGCCCGCUGGACAGAUGGAUUGUUUAACUUUGAAAAAUGUAAAUAGCUUGGAGUAAGACAACACACUUCACCACCCCCUGUGGCUUUGCAACCUGCUGCUUAACACACGCCUUGCCCACUUGGGCUCUGAAGGUGUUUAUUUUCAGCCCUAGAUUAUAUUACUUCCUUUGGGACUCAGAGAUGUUAACAGAAGUAAUGAAAGAGAGAGAACCAGGAAGAAUAGAUGGAACCAGAGAGAGAAGAAACAGAUUCUUUUGGCUAACGAUGCAACAGUUGGAAGAAUAGAGAAAGAAAAAAGAUUUGUUUGGCAAAUAUUCAUUAAGUUCCUAUCAUACACCAAGCACUAUUCAAAACACUGGGGGGAAAAAGAAACAACGAACAAAACAGAUGAAGUUCUUACAUUCAUGGAGCUUACACUCUAGUUGGGGAGAAAUAUAAAACAACAAAUAGCUGGGCACGGUGGCUCCUGCCUGCAAUCCCAGCACUUUGGGAGGCCCAGGUGGGAGGAUUGCUUGAGCCCCGGAAUUUGAGACCAGCCUGGGCAACAUGGCAAAAACCCAUCUCUACAAAAAACACAAAAAUUAUCCAGGUGUGGUGGCAUACGUCUGUAGUCCUAGCUACUCAGGAGGCUGAGGUGGGAGAAUUGCUUGAGCCAGGGAGGCGGAGGUUGCAGUGAGCUGAGAUUGUGCCACUGCACUCCAGCCUGGGUGACAGAGUGAGAUCCUGUCUCAAAAAACAAGCAAACAAACAAAUAUUGUUAAUGGAUAUAAGUAACAUGAAGAAAAAAAUUAAAAAAUAGGGAUAUAAGUGACAGGGCAGAAAGGAAGAUGCUAAUCUGUAAAGUGGUCAGGGAAGGACUUGUUGACAAGGUUACAUUUGAGCAGAGAUGUGAAGAAUGGCAUUUCAGGCAGAGGAAACAUGAAGUGCAAAGAUCCUGAAGCUAGACAUGAUUAGUGAGUUAGAGCACAAAUGAGGCCAGGCUAGGGGAGGAAGGCAUGAGAAGGAAGCGGUAAGACAUGCAGCAGUGACAAGGCAGUGGAGGGUGCAGCUCUAAUAAGAACUAAUAAGUUCUAAUAAGUUCCACUCUGAGGGAGGUGAGAAGAGGGCUUUGAGUAGAGCUGUGAUAUAAUCUUGCAAGAAAAUUCCAAUUGUUCCAUUGAAAACACAGAAGCAUACUUAUCUGGCAGGGGAGAUACCAUAUUCAUGAAGUUGGUUUUCCAAGGGCCAGGCUUAUCCAUUGCACUCUGGAUGUGCUGACCCCUGUGAUUUGCCCACACAUGGGAAACUUGACUGCAUAAUUUGUGCAGUGAGGGACUGCGUUCAUGCUUUCCCCAGUCUUCACAGCCUAAGAACAGGCUUCCUCUGUGUAAAGAAAUAAAAGAAAACACAAGCAUGGGCAGAAGUCAGUAGAACAAUUAGGAGGCUCUUACAGUAGUUCAGAUGAGAAACAAUGGUGGCUCUAAGAGAGUCAUAAUGAUAAGUGCUGCUAGGAAGUGGUCUGUAUUUUCUUUGAAAGUAGAACAAGUAGGACUUGUUGAUGGAUCAGAUGUGGAGUGUAAGCAAAAAACAAAAGUGCGGUCAAGGUUCACUCUACUUUCGUCUGUGUUUAAAAAUGUCCACAACAAAAAGCAAGAAAACAGAGAGAGGGAGUCAAGGAUGACUCAAGAUCUUGGACUCAAGAAACUGAGAGAAAGGAGUUGUCAUUUACUGUUAUGAGCAAAAACAGGGAAAGGAACAUAUGUAAGGGGUGGGACCGUGAGUUCAGUUUUGGGCAUGUUAAAUUUGAGAUGCCUGUCAGUCCUCCAUAUGGCAAUACCAAGUAGGAAGUUGAUUAUAUGCAUUUAGAAUUCAAAGAAAAGGCCUGGGCUAUAGAUAGAAAUUUGAAAUUAUCUGCAUGUAGGUGGCAUUUAAAGUCUGAAGAUUAAGUGAGAUCACCUGAAGAGUGAUAAAGGAGAGAUCUGAGGAUUGAACAUUUUGGCACUCUCAAGCGUAGAGGUCUGGAAUAUGAAGAGGAACCAGCAAGGAUAUGGCAGGAUGACCAGAGAACUAGGAAGACAAAAAAAGAAAAAAAAAAAAAAAGCCCAGCAAGGAAGGCAUUUUAAGAAAGGGGAAUGAUCAAAAGUGACUCAAAUGCCUCUGAUAAUGAAGGAAGACAAGAACUAAGAAAAAACCAUUAGCUUGGCAACAUGGAUAUUGCUAUUAAUCUUUGAGUGCAUACAAGCCCCUUGAGCUUGCUUCAGGAAAUAUUAGGAGAAGUACAAACAGCAAAUGUAGCCCACCAUUUUGAAGGUUUUUGCUAUGAUAGGGAGCAGAGAAAUCAGGUAGUACCUAGAGGGUCAUGUGCAGUCAAGUUGGGGUUUGGGUUUUUUAAUUUCAUUUUAUUUUAGAGACAGGAUCUCACUCUGUUGCCCAGGCUAGAAUGCAGUGGCACCAUCAUGGCUCACUGCAGCCUCCAUCUCCCAGGCUCAAGCAAUCCCCCCGCUCAGCCUCCUGAGUAGCUGGGACUGCAGGCAUAUGCCACCAUGCCUGGCUAAUUUUAAAAAAUUUAUUAUACAGACAGGGUCUCCCGAUGUUGCUCAGGCUGGUCUUGAACUCCUAGAAUCAAGCGAUCCUCCCACCUUGGCCUCCCAAAGUGCUGGGAUUACAGGUAUGAGCCAAUGUGCCUGGCAGGGUUUUAUUUUUAAAGACAAAAAUGAUCCAGUCAGAGAGGAAACUAUGAUACAGAAAAGACACACAACUUCCAGAAAGAUGCUCUUAGAAGACAAGAUCCAUUUUACACGUGGAAUUCUCUUUAGAUAGGAACAGAGAUUAUCUAUUCAAUGUGACAGAAGGGAAGACAGGAUGCGGGGCAUAGAGGAAAGUGUGUGUGUUUGGUGGUGGAAGCAUGAGGAAGUUCUAAUUAUCUCUAUUUUCUUAGUAAAAUGAAGAGCAAAGUCGUUAUAGUGAGAAUAAAGAGAAUUAGAGAGAAUAAAUGGCAAGAUGCUGUAGGUUCGAAGAGAAAAGAAGGGUAUAAAAUAGUUGUCUCGGAGAAUAAGAGAUGAAAGUGAUUAUUCAAAGGCAGUGAAAUUCCCUGGCAAUAAUGAAGGCCCACUUGAGGGUGACAAUCAGGAAUCAAAGUAAAUCUGUUAGCAUAACUUUUUUUGCAGCCAUUUCCAACAGAUCAGAAGCAGGAAGGAGUAGGUGGAAGUUGGGAUUUAACUAAGAAGAAGUAAAUUUGAUGGUGGAAGAGAAGGACAAGGGAAUUGGGAUUAUAUAAGGUAAUGGUUAUCAUGUUGAACUGUUGAAUCUUAAUUGAGGAUAGAGGUAAAUGCAGAUAUGAGGAAGUGAGAAAUAGAUGCUAAGGUCAAUAGAUAUAUGUUUCUUGUGUGGCUUGAAAAUGAUCAGAAUGAGAUGGAGACUUGGAAAGUAGUGGUGGGAGUAUAUGACAUCUGAAAUUGACAUGAAAGGGGGUGCAGUUAUUGAUACUCGUAAGGUUUAGAGUGCAACCAUAAGAACAGGUAGCUGGAGUGAUGUGGAGGACAAGAUGAUGGCAGGAGAGAGCACCAAGAGCCUGAGGGGCUAGAUUAUUGUAAGGAUCUUUUCAAUGAUAUUGAAAUCACCAAGAAUUAGGAGAAAACUGCUGUUGGGGAGAUGACAGUGGGUAAGGCAUGAGAAUCUUCAAGGAAUAAUGCGAAGUGACUAUGAAGUCUGUAGAUGAUUGGACAUAUGGAGCAGUGAGGUGACCCAUGGCUGAACUUCAGAGGAAGCAAGGAUGUGUUUAGGGAGAAGGAAAGGAGGAUAAGCUGAAAUUGGCAGUGACUAUUCAUAGCUGCAGAAAGAUCAGGUUUCAUUUAGAAUAAAGAGACGAAGGUGAUGUAGAGACUACUUCAAGGAUAUAGGAAAUUUUGCUAAUGACCCACAGUGAACUCCAAGGAACAGGGUGGAAGAGUGUAUUGUGGGAAAGGGUGUGAGAUUGGGUCAUAUAAAGAAAUGAACAGAGCUAUACAAGAAUGUGGUUUACAACGAUGAGUGGUGAAUUGGGGCUUCUUUUGGUGACUGAGAUGGCCUGAGUGUAUAUAGUUUUCACUUGCUGAAAAAUUUCCAAGAUAAUUUAUUGAGUUUUGAUUAUAGAAUAAAUAGGAGAACAUGGCUUGUGAAUAUGCUCAAGCGGUUUUAGUAGUUUAUCACCAUGACCAGUAGAUGGUAUUGUUGGCCCAAGAUAGUUUGGUUGCUGUUUGCUGUUCAGCACAGAGUGGAAAAGGGAAGGAAAGGAGGUUACAGAUGGACUAUGAGAGAAGGCAGUGUGUCUUCCACUUGGUAAAAUGUAAAGUAUACUGGUAGAUUUAGGAGAUAUCCUUAUCUGAACUAGUCACUGUUACACAAAAUUAAUGUUUGAUAGAAUGGACAAACAAGCACAAAUUCUUGGAAAGGACUGGGAGUUUUAACAAAUCUUGAGCGUAGAGUUAUAGAAAUAUAUAAAGUGCAAAUAAUGGGUUUUAAAAGCACAUAGAUAUAUCUAAAAGAAAAAAAAUCAGUAAGUCAAAGAGAUAUCUGUACUCCCAUGUUAAUUGCAGCACUAUUCACAAUAGCCAAGGUAUGGAAUCGGCCAGGUACAGUGGCUCACGCCUGUAAUCCCAGCACUUUGGGAGGCCGAGGUGGGCAGAUCACAAGGUCAGGAGAUCAAGACCAUCCUGGCUAACAUGGUGAAACCCCAUCUCUAUUAAAAAUACAAAAAAAUUAGCUGGGUGUGGUG
rnacentral:lncRNA from 10 species